UAUCUGGUUGAUUCUGCCAGUAGUCAUAUGCUUGUCUCA
rnacentral:rRNA from 2 species